UACCGAGGCCCCAAGCGUUCCUGAGAAUCACUGGGUUUAAAGGGUGCGUAGGUGGCGCGUUAAGUCCGUUGUGAAAUCCCUUGGCUCAACCAAGGAAUGGCUUCGGAUACUGGCGUGCUUGAGGCUGGUAUGGGUCACUGGAACUGACGGUGGAGCGGUGAAAUGCGUAGAUAUCGUCAGGAACGCCAAUGGUGAAGACAGGUGACUGGGCCAGUUCUGACACUGAGGCACGAAAGCGUGGGGAGCGAACGGG
rnacentral:rRNA from 1 species